CGUNGGGAGCUCUCCCNUAUGGUCGACCUGCAGGCGGCCGCGAAUUCACUAGUGAUUAGAGUUUGAUCCUGGCUCAGAUUGAACGCUGGCGGCGUGCUUAACACAUGCAAGUCGAACGUGAAAGUCCUUCGGGGCGAGUAAAGUGGCGCACGGGUGAGUAACGCGUGGAUAAUCUACCCUUAAGAUGGGGAUAACGGCUGGAAACGGUCGCUAAUACCGAAUACGCUCCCGAUUUUAUCAUUGGGGGGAAAGAUGGCCUCUGCUUGCAAGCUAUCGCUUAAGGAUGAGUCCGCGUCCCAUUAGCUAGUCGGCGGGGUAACGGCCCACCAAGGCAACGAUGGGUAGCCGGUCUGAGAGGAUGACCGGCCACACUGGAACUGGAACACGGUCCAGACUCCUACGGGAGGCAGCAGUGGGGAAUAUUGCGCAAUGGGCGAAAGCCUGACGCAGCGACGCCGCGUGAGGGAUGAAGGUUCUCGGAUCGUAAACCUCUGUCAGGGGGGAAGAAACCCCCUCGUGUGAAUAAUGCGAGGGCUUGACGGUACCCCCAAAGGAAGCACCGGCUAACUCCGUGCCAGCAGCCGCGGUAAUACGGAGGGUGCAAGCGUUAAUCGGAAUCACUGGGCGUAAAGCGCACGUAGGCGGCUUGGUAAGUCAGGGGUGAAAUCCCACAGCCCAACUGUGGAACUGCCUUUGAUACUGCCAGGCUUGAGUACCGGAGAGGGCGGCGGAAUUCCAGGUGUAGGAGUGAAAUCCGUAGAUAUCUGGAGGAACACCGGUGGCGAAGGCGGCCACCUGGACGGUAACUGACGCUGANGUGCGAAAGCGUGGGUAGCAAACAGGAUUANAUACCCUGGUAGUCCACGCUGUAAACGAUGGGUGCUGGGUGCUGGGAUGUAUGUCUCGGNGCCGUANCUAACGCGAUAAGCACCCCGCCUGGGGAGUACGGUCGCAAGGCUGAAACUCAAAGAAAUUGACGGGGGCCCGCANA
rnacentral:rRNA from 1 species